CCGUGCAGGCGGCGGAGCUGGACCGGCCCGGCUACGUGCUGGCGCUGCUGCAGGCCGCCGACCCCGACGGAGACGCGCUCUACUACGACAUAGUGGGAGGCGACCCCGAGCACUCGUUCGUGGUGGGCCGCGAGGACGGCAGCCUGGUGGUGGCGCGGCGCCUGCGCUGGGAGCGCGCGCCCGCCUACCUGCUCACCGUGGCCGUCACCGACGGCCGCCACACCGCGCACCAGGCCGUCAACGUCACCGUGGUGAACGACGCCACCGAGGGCGGCGUGUGGUUCUCGCGCGCCGUGUACUCCGCGGAGGUGGCGGAGGGCGCGGCCCCUGGAGCGCGGCUGCUGCGCGUGGAGGCGGGGCCGCGGGGCGGCGCCGGGGGCGUGGCCGAGGGCGGCGCCGCGCGUCUUCUGUACGGGCUGCGGGACGCGCGCCGCCCAUCGGACCUGGAGCUGUUCCGGCUGCACGAGUUGACCGGCGAGCUGGAGCUGGCCAAGCCUCUGGACAGGCAGAGCGACGCCGUCCACGAGCUGACCGUGUGGGCGCGGGACCAGGCGCCGCGCGCGUCCGUGUCGCUCGCGCGCGUCGCGGUGCGCGUGCGUGGCGCCCCGGCCGCGCCGGCGUGGGGGCGCCGCCAGUGGGAGGCGCGCGUG